AAUCAACGCUGGCGGCGUGCCUAAUACAUGCAAGUCGAACGCGAAAACCCCGCAAGGGGUUAGUAGAGUGGCAAACGGGUGAGUAACGCGUGGGCGACCUACCUCAGAGUGGGGGAUAACCUUCCGAAAGGAGGGCUAAUACCGCAUGACAUUCCGUGUUUGGAUACACGGACAUCAAAGCCGGGGAUCGCAAGACCUGGCGCCUGGAGAGGGGCCCGCGUCCGAUUAGCUAGUUGGUGAGGUAACGGCUCACCAAGGCUUCGAUCGGUAUCCGGCCUGAGAGGGCGGACGGACACACUGGAACUGAGACACGGUCCAGACUCCUACGGGAGGCAGCAGUAGGGAAUUGUUCGCAAUGGGCGCAAGCCUGACGACGCAACGCCGCGUGGAGGAUGAAGACUUUCGGGUCGUAAACUCCUUUCGACCGAGAUGAAUACUCUCUUACCUAAUACGUUUGAGAGCUGACAGUAUCGAGGGAAGAAGCCCCGGCUAACUCCGUGCCAGCAGCCGCGGUAAUACGGGGGGGGCAAGCGUUGUUCGGAAUUACUGGGCGUAAAGGGUUCGUAGGUGGCUUUCUAAGUCAGACGUGAAAUCCCUCAGCUUAACUGGGGAACUGCGUCUGAGACUGGCGAGCUUGAGUGCAGGAGAGGAACGCGGAAUUCCAGGUGUAGCGGUGAAAUGCGUAGAUAUCUGGAGGAACACCGGUGGCGAAGGCGGCGUUCUGGACUGUAACUGACACUGAGGAACGAAAGCCAGGGGAGCAAACGGGAUUAAAUACCCCGGUAGUCCUGGCCCUAAACGAUGAAUGCUUGGUGUGGCGGGUAUCGAUCCCGCCCGAUACGGAAGUUAACUCGUUAAGCAUUCCACCCUGGGGAGUACGGAUCGCAAGGCUGAAACUAAAGGAAAUUGAGGGGGGCCAGCACAAGCGGUGGAGAAGGUGGUUCAAUUCGAACGCACGCGAAGAACUUACCUGGGCUCGAAGUGUAGAGAACAAUCGGAGAAAGUCGGACUUCCGCGAGGACAUCUGCAGAGGUGCUGCAUGGCUGUCGUCAGCUCGUGUCGUGAGAUGAUGGGUUAGGUCCCGCAACGAGCGCAACCCUUGUUCUCUGUUGCCAUCAGGUAAAGCUGGGCACUCUGAGGAGACUGCCGGUGACAAACCGGAGGAAGGUGGGGAUGACGUCAAGUCAGCAUGGCCUUUAUGUCCAGGGCUACACACGUGCUACAAUGGCCGGUACAAACCGUUGCGAGCCCGCGAGGGGGAGCUAAUCGGAAAAAGCCGGUCUCAGUUCGGAUUGCAGGCUGCAACUCGCCUGCAUGAAGUUGGAAUCGCUAGUAAUCGCGGAUCAGCAUGCCGCGGUGAAUACGUUCCCGGGCCUUGUACACACCGCCCGUCACAUCACGAAAGCUGGCUGUACUAGAAAUCGCUGCGUUAACCCGCAAGGGAGACAGGCGCUUAAGGUAUGGUCAGUGAUUGGGGUGAAGUCGUAACAAGGUAACC
rnacentral:rRNA from 1 species